AGAGUUUGAUCCUGGCUCAGGACGAACGCUGGCGGCGUGCCUAAUACAUGCAAGUCGAGCGGACGAUUCAAAAGCUUGCUUUUGAAUCGUUAGCGGCGGACGGGUGAGUAACACGUGGGCAACCUGCCCUGUAGACGGGGAUAACACCGAGAAAUCGGUGCUAAUACCGGAUAACACGAAAUGUCGCAUGACGUUUCGUUGAAAGACGGCGCAAGCUGUCGCUACAGGAUGGGCCCGCGGCGCAUUAGCUAGUUGGUGAGGUAACGGCUCACCAAGGCGACGAUGCGUAGCCGACCUGAGAGGGUGAUCGGCCACACUGGGACUGAGACACGGCCCAGACUCCUACGGGAGGCAGCAGUAGGGAAUCUUCCGCAACGGACGAAAGUCUGACGGAGCAACGCCGCGUGAGCGAAGAAGGCCUUCGGGUCGUAAAGCUCUGUUGUUAGGGAAGAACAAGUAACGCAGUAACUGGCGUUACCGUGACGGUACCUAACGAGAAAGCCACGGCUAACUACGUGCCAGCAGCCGCGGU
rnacentral:rRNA from 1 species